AUUGAACGCUGGCGGCAGGCCUAACACAUGCAAGUCGAGCGGAGCGGCGGACGGGGGAGAAAUGCCAAGGAAUCAGCCAGGUAGUGGGGGCGAACGUCAGGAAACGGGCGCUAAUACCGACUCCUAUCAGAGGAGCCUAGGUCGGAUGAGCUAGUUGGUGGGGUAAAGGCCGACCAAGGCGCCGAUCCGUAAAUGGUCUGAGAGGAUGAUCAGUCACACUGGCACUGAGACCCGGUCCAGACUCCGACGGUAGGCAGCAGUGGGGAAUAUUGGACAAUGGGCGAAAGCCGGAUCCAGCCAUGCCGCGUGUGUGAAGAAGGUCUUCGGAUUGUAAAGCACUUUAAGUUGGGAGGCGUUACCAACAGAAUAAGCACCGGCUAACUUCGUGCCAGCAGCCGCGGUAAUAC
rnacentral:rRNA from 1 species